AAUGCGCUUCCCUUUAGAGGG
rnacentral:miRNA from 1 species